rnacentral:ncRNA from 1 species
ACUCGGGCACGAUCCCUGGACGUUAUACAAGGCCUUGGAACCGACCCGAUGUUCAAUCCUGAGGGA